rnacentral:rRNA from 1 species
UACGAAGGAUUCGAGCGUUAUCCGGAUUUCUUGGGUUUAAAGGGUGCGUAGGUGGACUAAUAAGUCAGUGGUGAAAGCCCGCAGCUUAACUGCGGAACUGCCAUUGAUACUGUUAGUCUUGAGUACAGUUGAGGUGGGCGGAAUGUGUCAUGUAGCGGUGAAAUGCUUAGAUAUGACACAGAACACCGAUUGCGAAGGCAGCCCACUAAGCUGUAACUGACACUGAGGCACGAAAGCGUGGGGAGCAAACAGG